UGCGAUCCAGCUGGGUUCUUUCUUUCAAACAAAAGAUAGAGUCUUAACGUGUGUGGGACGGAUCAUGGAUACCUAACGCAACCACCGACCUUCAUUUUAUUUAAGAGGAUUGUAUUUUGUCUUAGCUCAAUAUAUUCGCUCGGCAUGCUUGUAGGCCGUUCACCAUUCCAUACUUGUUGUAGCCUGUGAGAAUAGUUUCAUCUAUGGAUGGAAUAUUAGAGAAAGAGAGAAUUCUCAAUCACGAGAAGUUAGGCCUACUCUACUUCUACGCAGUCAGUUUAACCCUCGUGCAACCGUGCUGGUGUCGGCUGAUGAUCGGUUUACUUUACUGUGUCAACUCAGGGUCACUGUAUCUUGAGAACACUCGAUCUCGGUGACGACUAUGACAUCUGCGUUGCAGGCGUCUGCUGUUCUUCCAGCGGUGUGUAGGCCGAGGUUAUGAGCUGGAAAACAUAGGUGACUGAAUAAAAGAAGCCGCCGCCGCAGCAUCCGACCACCACCCGCUCGCUAGUUCUGCCUCACAGGAGCAGCAACACAAAUCUGUCGUGCAGCCGUGCCGCACGAAGCCACCACGAGCCUGCCGACGUGCCGCCCCUCCCCCUCCUCCUCAGACCACAGGAUUUGUGCCAUCCCAUGUCAGAGCCGCGUCAGCCAUCACCGGAUCCGCGCCCGCCUCUCCUCGGGAUGGGACCCGACCACCACAGUGUGCGCCGCGUGCCCCCGCCGCGAAUCCAUUGCGCUCGCCCGCCUCGACCGACCGGACAUCUACCAUGCGUGUG
rnacentral:lncRNA from 1 species